rnacentral:rRNA from 1 species
CAGCAGCCACGGUAAUACGAGGGGUGCAAGCGUUAUUCGGAUUGAUUGGGUGUAAAGGGUGUGCAGACGGCUCAUUAAGUCACUUGUUAAAUUCUUCGGCCUAACUGAAGGUCUGCAAGUGAUACUGAUGAGCUAGAGGGUGGAAGAGAGAAGUGGAAUUCUCGGAGUAGCGGUAAAAUGCGUAGAUCUCGAGAGGAACACCAAUGGCGAAGGCAGCUUCUUGGUCCAUUCCUGACGUUCAUACACGAAAGCGUGGGGAGCAAACAGGAUUAGAUACCCGCGUAGUCCCUGUCUCUUAUAC